rnacentral:rRNA from 1 species
AGUCGGAAUCGCUAGUAAUCGCAGAUCAGCAUGUUGCGGUGAAUACGUUCCCGGGUCUUGUACACACCGCCCGUCAAACCAUGAGAGUCACCAACACCCGAAGUCCGCCUUGGCGGCCUAAGGUGGGGAGAUGAUUGGGGUUAAGUCGUAACAAGGUAGC